UGUUACUUAUCAUUAAUCAUUUUUGGAGUAUUAAUAUUUAUGAAAUUUAACGGAUUUGGCGGCAAGAUAAACCGUUUAGAGGAACCUGCCCUAUAAACGAUAAGCCACGAGAGACUUUACUUUUUUUGGUAAUUCAGUUUGUAUACCGCUGUUGUUAGUCAGUUUUAUUAGAAAACUUUCGAUAAUGAAUUAGAUCAUUGACUUCAAGUAAAGGUGCAGCUAAUAAAAAAGUUAGAGGUGGGUUACAAUUUUUUGAUAAAAACGGAUGAUAUAAUGAAAAUAUAUCUGAAGGUGGAUUUAAUUGUAAGAUCUAAGCAGAUUUGAUAGGAGUACUAACUUGU
rnacentral:rRNA from 1 species